rnacentral:sRNA from 1 species
AAUGGUACUCCCUCAAGAGAACUGAGGCCGAACAGCGCGGAGGCGCGAUUCGGGAAAGCGUCGUGCGGUUUGGGAUAGAACCGUGGGAGCUUUC